ensembl:lncRNA
GACACGUGCGCACACACACACACUCACAGACUCACAUGCACACACACCUAACUACUUGCAGACACACAAGUUUUGCAUUGAUCACACUCGACACCACAACCCCCCCCAACAUAUAAACGCACACAAACACACAGACAUGCAUUCAUAACACAGGCCGUCUGACCAAAAGCUGAACACACACACACAUUUUAUAGACACACACACACACACACGCCUCAACAUGGCCAAUAAACCACCACACCAACACGUGGUGCCUGUCUGUCUGUGAGUGUGAGUGUGUGGUGAAGGUGUGCGUUGCUGAGGGUUAGGGUGUGAUUUUCUUGUGUGUGUGUGUUUCUGCAGAUACACUCUUCCCGGCAUCCACGGCCUCAACUUUGUCCUGCAGAGCUCGCUGGGAGGGGGAGGGGUGGCGUCUCUACGCAGCGACCCCCAGGGAAAAGCUUACGGUCAGAUGCUGCUGGACGUGAAGCUGCACGGACUCCCCGACCUCAAGUCCCUGGUGGACUGAGACACUCUGGACCACCACAAAAGAAGAGAGAGAGCAAAGAGAAACACGAAAGGACAUUUUAGCUCAACAGAACGAGGAGAAACCAGAUGAAACGCCAAACCACAGGCUCGGCCAACGUUAGCUAACGUUAGCUAACGCAUUUAAAUCAACCAGAGUAGAUGAUUAAGGAGCAACACGUUGAAAUAGAGGAACACGACUCGCACUAAACCUGGGCUCCGGCUUCAAGGGACCUGACCUCUGUGACCCCGGCGGUUUGGAGACAUCAGGCCUCAGCUGCUGCAUUCGUGAGCUCUGAGUGUUUUCACUCAAACACAGAGAAGAACCACAUGAGACCUUCUGCCAGGAAGAAAAAGCAAAACCACGAUCCUCCGAACAGACUUACGGAGAGAUUUACACGCAAUAAAAUCCUAAAAUAACCCACAACAACGAGAGUCCUUCCACAAACAAAUUGAGCACAGACGCGCGAGUAUCAAUCAACAAAUAUUCGCCUCAGAAGAAUCCACGGGCUCCUCUGGAGUUCAACGGACGCCGCCGAGGUGGUCCCAUCGUUUUUAGCGAGGUGUUGAAAUCCAGGCUGUAAAUUCCAGCUCAGUUUCCCGUUUUCAUAAAAAAGAAAGCUCCGAUUUCAUGUGGAAUCUCGCAUCCGCCUGCUAAUUAGUCACCGUGGAAUAAGUUCUAGCAGCUAAAUGUUCACACGUCGCGGCUGACGGGAAAGACGGUUUGGUGUUUGAUUUUAAACCUUAAGCGACAUGUUCUCUCUCUCAGUAUGAAGCUAAAUAGAAGGAACACUUGUAAUAUGAACUUCAGAAAUAAAUAUGUUUGAAAAAAUCUGUCCUCCAGAAUAUUCUGCAGCGGACGAGCCUGUUAGUCUGCACUGAACUCAUGAAUGUUCAGUAUUUGUUGGUGAAAAAGCAGUGGCCCCAGGAUGGAACUGUGUGUGUGUGUGUGUGUGUGUGUGUGUGUGUGUGUGUGUGUGCGUGUGUGUGUGUGUGUGUGCAUAUAUAACAUGGAGUCUGAGCCUUUCUUUGGGUUUAUUCACCUCUUAAGUUUUAACAUCACUUGUUUCUUCCAAGAACUUUUCUCCAAAUGAAGUAAUGAAAGUUUGAUUCCGUGCUUUCUUUAUUUUUAUCACUUCAUGCUUUUAAGGAGCCGAUUU